rnacentral:lncRNA from 1 species
GAAAGUCUCAGAUUCUUUAUUUUACUCUUUGUAGCAGCAGGACUCUUUGGUCCAACUGCCCGAAAAACUAUUGUCAAGAAAAUGCCCAGUGACCUCCAAACUCCUGACCUUUCAAUUACCUCAGUGGAUGGACCGAGAGAAAGGUGACUUUUAAUAAAACACAAAUAAUAUCACUAAACCAUCAAAAAUUGAAUCCCAAGACGGUUUCUCACUAAAUUUUAUUUUCCCUGCCUCCCUCAAAGGAACUGUGUAUUGAAGUUCUCCAUCUGCUGAUGAUCUCUUAGGCUUAUCUCGGUGUAGUACAUCCAUUUAGCAAUGCAGAUAAUCAGCAUUUGCAGAAUGGCACUCAGUUUUGCAGCUGAAAAGAUUAGAGUAUACAAUCCACCAUUCAUUCUCAAGGGAAGGAGUCAUCGCAUUGAAGCAGUCUAAUUAUGGCCAUCAGUCCAAAUGGCAUGGUGGCCAAGGAUCAACCCCACCAGCAUAGGAAGUUCCAGGCUCCAAGAAAGCCCAGAGGUUUUGGAAUUAGUGAGCUAAGUGAGUUUGCCUCAUUCCCACACAUCUUGCUCCUCACUUCCUUUACUGUGCCCUGUGGUUGGUGACAUGACUGCAUAUCUGCCACUUCUCACCACUUUGUAUAUUCACCCUGCCUUGUCUUGAUUUCUCAUCUUGAUAAUUCUCCCAUCUUUUGCUCAAGACACUUUUAAACAACUCUCAGAGUAACAUCCUUCUUUGGCCCUAGUGAGCAUUUGAAAUAUGUUCUAUAUUCUAAAGAUCCAGAACAUGUGGGCAUUUUCACGAUCCAGCCUGUCACCAUGUGUUGUUUAGCCACACGUGUUCAAAGCAGAUUUCGAGUUGAGUUAUUUCUAGCUGGGCACAAACAGGGUUCCAUUUUCAUAGGCCUCACUCUUCCCUACUGCAUUACAUGGUUUCUUCUUCACUUCUACUACACUACUCCUUCUUUAAAUUACAGAAGCUUAAACAUAAACAAAAGUAGAACAAAGUGGCAUAAUGAAACACCACAAAUCCAUUACUUUGCUUCAAAAUUUCUUAGUACAAAGCUAUUAUUUUUUAUACCUACAUGCCUGCAAAAGGCAUCCCAGUGUCUCCUCACUAUGGAGUGGAAGGAGCAAGAGGUUUAUAAUAGCAUCUUGUUAUAUUGAAGUCACAAGCUACCAGCAUCUUCUUAUAUUGAAGUCACAGGCAGGAUUUAAAUUCAUCUUAUAUGUAAGUAUGGUAUCCCAGUGUGUCAGUGAAGAGACAGAUGUUACUGAGAUCACCUUGCCCAGGGACGCAUCUCCUAAUAUCUGCAAGGAUGUCCUGUAUACCAAAAGUAUAGCUUCAUUCCUUCUAAUCCCAAAGACUCUCAAAUAAAGCAAAUCUGCGGGAGGACAAAGAUGAUGGUAAGCACAGAGGAGAAUGGGUAUCAAUCACUUACAUCAUUAGGAAGGAGUGAAAUCUUACAAUGAUCUUUCCCUCUGCUUUCUUCCUUUCAGGUGAUCUAACUUCCUGUGCCAGCAUCAUCAUUUUACAAUAAGAUUUGACUUUGGUUAAAGUUUGAAAUUCUCCUCUGAGGAAACACAUUUCAGGAUGUUAUCUUUCAUGCAUACCUUAUCAUGAAGAAAGGAUCCAACUAUUCAUAAUCUAGAUUUCCACUGAUUUCUUUAACCACAGUUUGAUAACAACCACCAGUGAGGUAGUCAGGUCCAGGUCUUAUGGAACUUUAUUCUGUUCAUUGGGAAUGUGGGUUUUAUUGAUGAGGGAGUGAUAAACUAUUGGAGAAUUCUCAAUUGUGGCGUCAUGUCUUCUGAGUUAUACUUUUACAGGAAUGAUUCUGGUUGCUCUGAAGGAACAGAUAGAUGUGGGGAGACAAGAAUAAAAGCAAGGAGGCUUGUAACUGGCUGUUUUCAUACUAGAGGAACUUCAGGACUGAAUCCUGCAGUAGAAGCAAGAACAGGCUAUUGGGAGACUCUGGUCCUCAACUGCACAAAGAAGGGCCCAUAUCCUCAACUCUGCCACAGACCUCUUUGAUUCCAGUUGGAAGCCUGGAGAUUUCACUGCUGCUGAGGAGGGUUCCAGGGACUGGGAAACCUGAGCUGUGAGCUGAGCUUGGGUGAUCUGUUUCCAUCUGUGGUCUGGUGCUGAUGGUUUCCAAGGCAGGAAUCAAGUCAGUCCUUGAAGAGCUACAACAGAGCAAAAGUGCAGGUAUGAGAGCAUAGAUGGACAAAAAAAAGCAAGUAAUCAUAAUCAGAGAAGAGCUGGAGCAGCUAGGAAAUUUAGAAGAAGAGAACAGGUUACAAUAGAUGCCGUGAACACAGCGAUGGUUCUAAGACUAUGCCCAUCUUGUUUACUUCUGUGGCUUCAGUGCCUGACAAAUACAUAGUCAGCACUCAUCAAAUAUUAAAUAAAUACAUGCAUGAAUUGUCAAAAGGAGGUGACACUAUCCAACCACUUAAAGUAUAAAUUUUUCCAGAUAGAUACAAUGCUACAGAUACAUUAUCAAAUAGGAUGGAG